rnacentral:rRNA from 1 species
AGUCGAACGAUGAAGCCCUUCGGGGUGGAUUAGUGGCGAACGGGUGAGUAACACGUGGGCAAUCUGCCCUUCACUCUGGGACAAGCCCUGGAAACGGGGUCUAAUACCGGAUAACACUCCUCAGGGCAUCUUGAGGGGUUAAAAGCUCCGGCGGUGAAGGAUGAGCCCGCGGCCUAUCAGCUUGUUGGUGGGGUGAUGGCCUACCAAGGCGACGACGGGUAGCCGGCCUGAGAGGGCGACCGGCCACACUGGGACUGAGACACGGCCCAGACUCCUACGGGAGGCAGCAGUGGGGAAUAUUGCACAAUGGGCGAAAGCCUGAUGCAGCGACGCCGCGUGAGGGAUGACGGCCUUCGGGUUGUAAACCUCUUUCAGCAGGGAAGAAGCGAAAGUGACGGUACCUGCAGAAGAAGCGCCGGCUAACUACGUGCCAGCAGCCGCGGUAAUACGUAGGGCGCAAGCGUUGUCCGGAAUUAUUGGGCGUAAAGAGCUCGUAGGCGGCUUGUCACGUCGGAUGUGAAAGCCCGGGGCUUAACCCCGGGUCUGCAUUCGAUACGGGCUAGCUAGAGUGUGGUAGGGGAGAUCGGAAUUCCUGGUGUAGCGGUGAAAUGCGCAGAUAUCAGGAGGAACACCGGUGGCGAAGGCGGAUCUCUGGGCCAUUACUGACGCUGAGGAGCGAAAGCGUGGGGAGCGAACAGGAUUAGAUACCCUGGUAGUCCACGCCGUAAACGUUGGGAACUAGGUGUUGGCGACAUUCCACGUCGUCGGUGCCGCAGCUAACGCAUUAAGUU